rnacentral:ncRNA from 1 species
CCGCCGGUGCUCUUGACUGAGUGUCGGCGGCGGCCGGAACGUUUACUUUGAAAAAAUUAGAGUGUUCAAAGCAGGCUCUCGAGCCUGGAUAAUGGUGCAUGGAAUAAUGGAAUAGGACCUCGGUUCUAUUUUGUUGGUUUUCGGAGCGCGAGGUAAUGAUUAAGAGGGACAGACGGGGGCAUUCGUACUGUGCCGUUAGAGGUGAAAUUCUUGGAUCGGCGCAAGACGAACGACUGCGAAAGCAUUUGCCAAGAAUGUUUUCUUUAAUCAAGAGCGAAAGUCAGAGGUUCGAAGACGAUCAGAUACCGUCCUAGUUCUGACUAUAAACGAUGCCAACUAGCGAUCGGGGGGCGUUACAUUGACGACCCCUCCGGCAGCUUACGGGAAACCAAAGUCUUUGGGUUCCGGGGGAAGUAUGGUUGCAAAGCUGAAACUUAAAGGAAUUGACGGAAGGGCACCACCAGGAGUGGAGCCUGCGGCUUAAUUUGACUCAACACGGGAAAUCUCACCCGGCCCGGACACAGUGAGGAUUGACAGAUUGAGAGCUCUUUCUUGAUUCUGUGGGUGGUGGUGCAUGGCCGUUCUUAGUUGGUGGAGCGAUUUGUCUGGUUAAUUCCGAUAACGAACGAGACUCUGGGUUGCUAAAUAGUUACGCGACCAUCCCGGUCG